UGAUAAAAGAAAAGGAGACUCUAAAUUAUUGGGGUAGACAAGAUUAAACUUAAAUUGGCAGCAAAUCCAUACAAUACAGCUGUGCUCGUUAUCAUGAUCCCAUACACACACUGAACUAAGAAACAGGAUUUCAUCAUGAUCCCAUAGACGGAGGGAAAUAGGCCCGUGUGAUUACAGGCACUGGGAAACACCUUUUUUUAAUUAUAUGAGUGUCUCAUACGGGUGGUCCUACUCCUACAGUUUAAAUAUCGACAAAGGCAUAUCCUACAUUUUCAGAGCUGUAAAUCUUCUGCAAAUCUAAAGAAUCUUCAACAAGCUAACAUAAUGCCACUCAAGCAGGUUUAGACGCAAGGACAAAAGAAAUGCAUAACCUUACUCAAGUAGAUGAGUGCAAAUGCAACCUCCUCAACCUUUCCCAUAUGAGUCCAGCCUUACCAUCAACUCUUUGCAAGAGACGUCGGCAUAGCACAUAUAUGAAUUUAUGCAAACAAUUUUCAAUUCCCUUUGUUGUAGGACUCCAUAAAUAGCUUCGUGCAGACUAUUUCUCCCUCCUCUCUUAUUCAAAUCCAAAUCAUUAAACUGUUAAGUUCUAUCCUUCACUCGCUGCCCACCUUUAACCGAAGGCCAGGCAACAUAUCAUGGUUUCACGUCCGUGAUCCCCAUUUUGCAUAACAACCUGGUCCUGGACAACUGGUUGGACCAUCCAGUCCUGACACGCCUUAUCCAUACACAUCAUUUAGCAAUUUUAGUUAGGUUUAAGGGACAAUCAAAGACAAAUACCAUGGGAAAAUAUGUAGACGUAUCCAAGUCCCCAAACUAUUGGAAGGCAAAUGCAGGAGUUAAGGAUAAACCCGUCCAGGUUCAGAAACACAUUAGUUUUUUCCAGAAAAACAGCUACAAACCAAAACUCCUUCCCAUCAAUUGCCUUAGUCUAGUAAUUUGUUUUGCCAAGUGGGAACUCAUAGUUUCAAUCAACAGUCUUCAUUUUUACAAAAUUGAAAAACUCCAGCCAGCUAGGCGAUUUUAACUGGUCAAUCCAAAUCCAAAUGUGUCUUUCUUUGAUAUUGAACAAAAUACCAGCAAAAAAUUUAAUAACAACCGGUAGAAUUUUCAUCUUCUUGCUCUGACUACUGAUAUGCAUUCAUAUCUGGUCUCUUCUAAACAGUAAAUAAUAGCAAAUACUUCUCUGCCACUCAACUUCAAGUAAGGUAUCUGUUUGAAAUGAUAAUUUGCCGAAACAUUAGUAACAUUGCUGAUAAUGAGUACUUGUCAUCAACUGUGUUUGGAAUAAAUAAAUAUGAAAUUCAUUUUCAUUAUUAACAAAAUAGAUUGACAAAUCAAUUUCGAUAUUUGUAUAUUAAUUAUUAAAUAUAGUAUUUAUUUGCAAGCUUGAGUAUAAUCAAUUCCAUAGAAUUAAAGAUGUAAAAUUGCAAACUAUCUUUUUUACACACCAAAAGUUUCAAGUUUGAAUUUGUAAAGGAAUUCCAUAAAAAUUGUUAUAUGGAAUCCAUUUAUACCACAUAAGCUCGAAAGGAAACUUCAUUCCCUCAUUUACAAAAACACUCACAAGUCAAGGAGAACCAGAAAUGUGCAUUCCAUUCUCUUUAAUCAAAUCGACUCUCUCUCUAGAUACAAGGAUAGGAUAUACAAUAUGUUAGCAGCUAAUCCCCUCAGAAGAAUAACAGACAAAUCAAUGAAAAUGAAAAACCAAGAAGAAAUAAUUAUCAUAUAAAGCUUUAGCAUAGCAAAUUAGCAAAAGGAGAGAGAAAAGCAUACCCAUUUUCUUUUCUCUUUCUCUAUUCAGUAUCCGAAGGUAAAUAUGUAGAAUUAUUGGGUAAAGAUUCAUUAGGUAAUUGUGAAGAAGCCGCGGCCGCAGUUUCAGAUUCCUCCUGCAUCAACUUCUGCAACCCAGGUUUCAAUUCCUUGCUACAAAACUCCUCAUACUCUCCUCUAUCCCCUCCUUUCUUCUUAACAUCAACCACCACUAGUUUCGGCGUUAGCUCAAAUAUUUCAGCUGCAAUUGUUAAUGGACCUUUGACACCCUCCCUAGACCCUUCCAAACUCACUCUGUAAUCCUUUUUCCUCACUGUAAAGCUCACAACUUUAGCAAUUUCCUCCAGUUUUGAUAUAAUCUUGGAUACAGGAGCACCAGAAACAAUUCUUGCUCCCUCUCCACCAUCUUCAAACAACCCAGAUAAAUUAAACCCAGGCGAAAAGGAUAUAAUGUCAAAAGCAUUCAAACUUGCAGGUCUAGGUAAUGAAGUAACCCUUCUUCGAUUUUCCAUUUCAGAUUCUGAUUCAGACUGUGAUUGCUCGGAGGAUGAACCGGCAUCAUCCUGCUGUCCCUCAGCGUCAAAACUAAAAACUUUAUCAUCCUCAAUGUAAAAUUUGAUAUGCUUGAACCCCUUUUUGAACCACUUAUUCUCCAUUACCUCAGGCAUCGUAAUUCGAGUUUCAGGGUUUGUAUCAAGAAGCCUCCAGAGAAGUCUAAUGAGCUCCGGAGAGAACCAUCUAGGACACCGGAACUCACCCUUAUGGAUCUUCCUGUACAUGACCAUGAUAUUCUGGUCAUGGAAUGGCAAGUAACCAGCCAUCAACACAAACAAAAUCACCCCACAAGACCAGAUGUCUACUUUCGCAGCAUCGUAACCUUUUCUCGCCAGAACUUCCGGUGCAACAUACGCCGGCGUCCCGCAAAAAGUAUGAAACAAACCAUCUUGUCUAAUCUGAUCGGAGACCGCACUAAGGCCAAAAUCAGAGACUUUCAAGUCACCAUUCUCAUCAAGCAGAAGAUUUUCCGGCUUGAGAUCUCGAUGAAACACGCCCCUGGCAUGACAAAAUGACACUGCAGAUAUCAAUUGCUGGAAAUAUUUCCUAGCCACCUCCUCUUUUAACCUUCCCUUAGCGACCUUAUUAAACAAUUCACCGCCACGGACGUAUUCCAUGACGAAAUAGAUCUUGGCCUUGGUAGCCAUGACCUCAAAAAGCUGAACUAUAUUAGGGUGGCGAACACGGCGAAGAAUGGAGAUUUCACGCUUGAUAUGAGCAAUAAGGCCACCUUUAAGAAUCUUCUCUUUGUCAAUAACUUUGAUGGCUACGCUCUCGUUGGUCUUGACAUUACGGGCAUGGUAGACCUUGGCGAAGGCUCCAUGGCCAAGAAGUUUACCGAUCUCGUAUCGACCCAGAAGAAGAGUCUGGUUACUGUUGGUAUUGGUCUGGGUUUUGGGUGCCAUGGAUGGAUUUGAGGGAGAAAGGAAUUGAGUUUUGAUUCGAUGUUGAUUUUUGGGCGGAAAAAACAGAGCUAAUGGUAACACGAUGAAGUGCUUUAUUUUGUGGCUUCCGGUUUGAGGCUGCAAGGCGAUGC
rnacentral:misc_RNA from 1 species